GGAUGAACGCUGGCGGCGUGCCUAAUACAUGCAAGUCGAGCGAACUGAUUAGAAGCUUGCUUCUAUGACGUNAGCGGCGGACGGGUGAGUAACACGUGGGCAACCUGCCUGUAAGACUGGGAUAACUUCGGGAAACCGAAGCUAAUACCGGAUAGGAUCUUNUCCUUCAUGGGAGAUGAUUGAAAGAUGGUUUCGGCUAUCACUUACAGAUGGGCCCGCGGUGCAUUAGCUAGUUGGUGAGGUAACGGCUCACCAAGGCAACGAUGCAUAGCCGACCUGAGAGGGUGAUCGGCCACACUGGGACUGAGACACGGCCCAGACUCCUACGGGAGGCAGCAGUAGGGAAUCUUCCGCAAUGGACGAAAGUCUGACGGAGCNACGCCGCGUGAGUGAUGAAGGCUUUCGGGUCGUAAAACUCUGUUGUUAGGNAAGNAACAAGUAC
rnacentral:rRNA from 1 species